AGAGUUUGAUCAUGGCUCAGAACGAACGCUGGCGGCGUGGAUAAGACAUGCAAGUCGAGCGCUGAUUACAGGGUAGCAAUAUUCUGUAGUGGAGCGGCGCAAGGGUGCGUAACACGUGGGUAAUCUGCCAUGAAGUUUGGGAUAACUCGCUGAAAGGCGAGCUAAUACCGGAUGUGACGAUUGGAAGGCAUCUUCUGAUCUUCAAAGCUGGGGACCGUAAGGCCUGGCGCUUCAUGAUGAGCCCGCGGCCUAUCAGCUAGUUGGUGAGGUAACGGCUCACCAAGGCUAAGACGGGUAGCUGGUCUGAGAGGACGACCAGCCACACUGGAACUGAGACACGGUCCAGACACCUACGGGUGGCAGCAGUCGAGAAUUUUUCACAAUGGGGGAAACCCUGAUGGAGCGACGCCGCGUGGGGGAUGAAUGGCUUCGGCCCGUAAACCCCUGUCAUUCGCGAACAAUGCCUGUGUAUUAACACCAUACAGGUUGAUAGUAGCGGAAGAGGAAGGGACGGCUAACUCUGUGCCAGCAGCCGCGGUAAUACAGAGGUCCCAAGCGUUGUUCGGAUUCACUGGGCGUAAAGGGUGCGUAGGCGGUCGGGUAAGUCUGAUGUGAAAUCUCACAGCUUAACUGUGAAACUGCAUUGGAUACUAUUCGGCUUGAGGUCUGGAGGGGGGACUGGAAUUCUCGGUGUAGCAGUGAAAUGCGUAGAUAUCGAGAGGAACACCAGUGGCGAAGGCGAGUCCCUGGACAGGUCCUGACGCUGAGGCACGAAAGCUAGGGGAGCAAACAGGAUUAGAUACCCUAGUAGUCC
rnacentral:rRNA from 1 species